rnacentral:rRNA from 1 species
GACGAACCGUACAAACGUUAUUCGGAAUCACUGGGCUUAAAGGGUGCGUAGGCGGCCAUGUAAGUGAGGUGUGAAAUCCCUCGGCUCAACCGAGGAACUGCGCUUCAUACUGCAUGGCUUGAGGGAGACAGGGGUAAGCGGAACUGAUGGUGGAGCGGUGAAAUGCGUUGAUAUCAUCAGGAACACCGGUGGCGAAAGCGGCUUACUGGGCCUCUUCUGACGCUGAGGUACGAAAGCUAGGGGAGCGAACGGG